GGAGAGAUGGCUGAGUGGCCGAAAGCGCCUUCCUGCUAAGAAGGUGAUCCUCCAAAAGGGGAUCCGAGGGUUCGAAUCCCUCUCUCUCCGCCA
rnacentral:tRNA from 1 species